GUCCAGCCUCGGGGACAGGGAAGACCAGAGGACCACUAGCCCCAGGAAGCUCCCCACCACCAGCAAACUGCUUGGCCAUAUGACUUUUGUGUUAAAAAUUAUACCUCAUUCAUCACAGAGUUAGAGAUAAGAAAAAGUGUCCAUCAAGGGUGUUGUGAAGGAAACCAUCUGCCGACUUGAUUUGACUGGCUUCCAAGGAGGUGCAAAGGAAUACAUUUCAGUGGCCUGCAGCAUUGACAGAACAAGACCACGGGGAAUUAAGUCAACUGUAGAAAAUGAUAUGUUCAAGACUCUUAAUGAUCCCUGGUGCUUUCACAACAAAGAAUUCAACCAUCAGCUCUCCAAAAAGGCCACUUGAGCUCCAGGGCUUGAGGAGGCCGGCCAGCCGCUGGGUGGUGUGAGACAGCUCCCCUCUGCAGAAGACCAGUUAUGCGCCCACUCGGGGACAGCAGCCUGAGCCAGUAACCGGUCUGAGACGGAUGGAGCUCCGCAGGCCCUACAGGCCCCUGUGGCUAAAGCGUCCCGGUCACUCUCACGGAAGUCCUGCCACCAGCCCCACAGGUCUAGGGCUCCACACUGACCCAGUGGUCUGAGCAAAGGCAUUUUUUUGGUCCCUCCAGAGACAGACAAGAAAGGAAAAGGAAAAGUUCAGUGUGUGUUCAUAGCACAGCUAUAUUUCGGGACAUAUAUUUAAAUUGUUUUUUUAAAUUUUCACCUAAGGAAAUUUUUUUUCAUUGCUUUCAGAGAGAGAGAGAGAGGGAGAAAAGGGAGAGAAAGAAACAUCAAUGCAAGAGAGAAACACCAAUCAGAGUUGAUUGGUUGCCUCCCAUACGUGUUUGGACUGUGGAUCAAACCCAUGGCCUAGGAAUGUGUCCUGACUGGGAAUCAAACCCGAAACCUUUUGGUUAUAGGACAACACUCCAAUCCACUGAGCCACACCACCCGGGCCUGAUUCAUAUGUUGUUAAUACCAUGAUGUUAAUACCAAGUUACUCUGGGCAAAUAGUGUUUUGGCUUUGACAACUGAGGCUCUAUGGUUAGAUCCCAUAGACCUUCCCUUCAAUCAGCAGAGAUCAAAAUAUUUUUGUAAAUACUCUAAAUCCAUUCAAUUUAAACCUGUUUAUUUAAAGGCCACUGUUACUGUAGAGAAAGCACGGGGAUGUGAAAAGGUGAUUGUCAAGGGCUUUCUUAUUAUAAGCUGACCCCAGAUCUGAAGGCAGUAGGAUGAGAUGAGGAGACGCGGGCAGGCAAGUGGCUUGCUUCUGCUUCCAGUGGCUCCACUUUCCCUGUCUCCUCCCCCGUGUGCCAGUCUAUUCACAGGCAUCAGGCUGGAAGCAACUUUAGCCACAUAAGUAAUGAUGGGGAGCAGGUUUUUUAGGAAAUGAGGAAGGUGUAGUGGCAACUGAGGUAAACCCUCUACCCUAGCAGAAAAUUUCCAUUUGAAAAACGUGGCUUUCUUCUCUUUUCAAGGUUUUAAUGAAAUUGUUUGAGGAUUGACUGGAUGAGUUUCUUAGUUAUUUUUUGUUUGUUUUUAUGAGUAUUGACCUUAGGAGCUCAAAGAGCUGGUCUCUUCUGUAAAGCACUAAGAGAUUAUUCCCAUUGUCUUGUGUGAAGUUAAGUAUUUUGUAGCAAAUGUAUACACGCAGUGAACAGAAGGGAUAGUCUCAUUUUACAUUUGCGUUGUCUCUUAAUGCUAACAGUAAAUGCAAAACAGGUACUGAAAAAAGCCUAAAGCACUUAUAGCAGGGAUGACACAUCAGGAGUUGUUAUAAUGACUUAAUAAUUAAGGGUUGGCUGAGAAUCGUGUUGAACUCAGGAGGACUGUUCAGCAUCAGCACCUUUAAAAGUUCAACAGUUAAGCUGACUUGCUUUGUUACAUCUUGUCCAGAACUGAAAACACUCUUUUAGUUCAUGUUUCCUUGUUCCCAGCCUGCUCAUUUUACCAAAUGACAUGAUUAACGACUCUGGCAAGUUUUGACUUGCCUUCUGUUAAGAGGUUGUUUUUUAUGUGUUUUCUAUUAAAUGU